UUGAUUUUUGAUGAAAUGAUGACAGUUGAAAAUUGAAAAAUGGUUGGCAAUGCGGUUGUGUAGUGUGGAUUUUCUGAGUAAAUUUUAAAUGAAUAAUUAACUCUUUUUGCGAGAAUUAAACCACAUAUUACGGAACUAAACAUACUAUAAUUUUGGCAGCUGAUGAUUAAAGCACAGAGAACCAAUCAGAGAAGCCGUUGCUUGGGCUUUUGUGCAACCGGGCCUAAGUUUGGAAAAUACCAAAAUAUGGUUACGAAGAGAGCAGUUUGUUGUGAUGAGGACAUGGAAUGAAGGAGUAUGCAGCUUGGCACACUGAUUCACCCUUGUCAUGGACCACAGCUUUCAAGUAUGGCACUUGACAGGGAUGAAUCAGAUUGCUGGAGAUGGAGAGAUACAAUAUGACGACAUUUCUCAGUGCAAUGCAUCGAUGCUGAUAUGAGCUGGACAUCCUGAUGGGACUUGAGUCAUAGACCAGAGCCUUCAAGUGACAGCUGGUGAGUGUUGUAACAUACCUCUCUAUCUUCACAUUGAAUUCUGUUGAGAUCUAUUGAGCUUUGAAUAUUAUUUCUUGUAGGCCUAUAAUUGGUCUUAUUUAUUAUAAAACUGGAUCUCAUCUGAUGCGCUUGUGCUCGUUUUAGUUGAAUGUAAUGUGGAGCCAAGUGAUGUUGAUGAAACACCACCGAGAAGCAUGUGAGUUGAGCAGUAGCUUCAUUCUAUGAAGUACUGAAAAUCUUACAUGUAUCAUGCCGCUUCCACACUCUUGUCAAGUGCGUAAAAAUGACGACGAGCGCGAGAGUGUGGAUGGCUGCUAUGCCACCGCUCGCCGUCAAUCCCACCAUAUAUAUGUAUACAGCGAGCCGCUUGACAAGCGACUUGACGAGAGUGUGGUGCCGGCAUGACGAAUGCAAUGCUACAGAAUUGAUGGCUCCUUUUGAGUUGUUGUGGAG